UACGUAGGGUGCAAGCGUUGUCCGGAUUUAUUGGGCGUAAAGAGCUCGUAGGCGGUCUGUCGCGUCGGAUGUGAAAACCCAGGGCUCAACCCUGGGCCUGCAUUCGAUACGGGCAGACUAGAGUGUGGCAGGGGAGACUGGAAUUCCUGGUGUAGCGGUGAAAUGCGCAGAUAUCAGGAGGAACACCGGUGGCGAAGGCGGGUCUCUGGGCCAAUACUGACGCUGAGAAGCGAAAGCGUGGGUAGCGAACAGG
rnacentral:rRNA from 1 species